rnacentral:sRNA from 2 species
GUCUCAUCUCUUAUUUACCGAAGUCACUAAAGAAAAGCCCCCUUUUCAACCACCCUCGCUCCAGAACCACUGCCAGCUGGGUGACGCCAAUACCUUGACAGAGAAUUCCAAGCUUGAUCUUUACUACCGCCACCGAUAAUGCCUGCGGUCGCUAAGUCUGAAAUGAAGGUGUAGAUCCAGUACCUGCAACCUUCUUCAUGCUUAGUGAACUUAUAUCUAUCGCGACUCAACCUGGAAAUCAAAUCUGUGAUCGUCUUCACAGUCAGCUGACCAAUAGUCGUGAAGGAGAGAGAGACUUGCUAUCAAUGCUAGAUUACUAGCUGACUACCUGCCUGCCUACCUGCCGAUCUAUCUACUGACCUGGUUGAAUGAAUGAUAUCCACUAAUGAUAUCUGGCCAUGAUAUCCAGCAAUGAUAUAUACCAAUGAUGUCUAUUGAUAUCUAGCAAUGGCAUCUAGCGAUGAUAUCUACCGAUGAUAUAUAAUAUCUAAGAGCAUGGCUUUCUGGCCCUCUUGCUCUGUCGUGUCCCAGCUGCAAGUUUCAUGAAGCUCCUGCUAUAGAGUGUUGUGCCUGAGCUGUCCAACCCUUUGAAGCAAUUAAAGAUGCCUUCAUCCCCUGGGAUUUAGAGGUUCGUUUGCCCAGCCCCAGAAGGGGGGUGAUAGGGGCAGGCUGCCCCUAGUAUAUAUAUUGUCUACAUCUUCUACGUGAUUGAUACAUCAUCUUUAACAAGCAAUAUACUAAUGAGAUAUAUACUUGAUGUGAAUUGAUGUCUAUACACCACACAAC